GGCUCUUUUCUGAAGAUGGUGUAGGAAGAGUCUGGACUUUGGAAGCAUAUGCUGGUCCAUAUGCAGAAGGGGUAUCUCUGCCAUCAACACUGAAGAAACAUCAGGGGCAGAGCAAUGGAGAACGGAGAAGAGUGACUCUGUGUAUGGCGUAGGAACUGAAUCCUAACUAUCUCCAGGGCAGAAAGACAAUCAAGACCAAAACUUUUCCAGGGCGUGAGGCAGAAAGAAAAAAGGGCCUCAUCUCAGCAGCACUUCAGAUCCCUCGGUGCCCUCAUAUGCCCUUCUGCAGGACGCUGGGUAGAGGUGGCUCCAGUGGGCCGGAGCCGCCCGCGCAGAGCCCAAGAGCUUCAUUCCCUGAA